CCUCCUUCAUAAGCCUCGAGGCACUGCAUCCAACAGGCUCCUCUCUCUCUCUCCUUCAGCAACACCGUACCAACAGCACUGCAUGGCAAAAGGGAGAGUCUCCUGAACGUGUGCUGCAAGAGCGUCUUCUUUCUGCCUCCGGAGUCGGACAUGCCAGAGACAGAAAGAGCGCUCUACGCCAAGACUAUGGAUGCCUUGGACACCAUGCUGGAGGGCUUCGUACUCAGCUGUCCCAUCACCAGUUUCAACACAGAGAUGCAGAAUAUGUUGAAGGUGAUGCUGGACUUUGCUGGCUCCAAAAACUCAACUGUGCGCGAGAGAGCUGUGAGGAGGAUUGAGAGGCUGAUUACUUUCAUCCGCUGGUAUUUGGUGACCAAGGUAAGGCACAAGGAACCCUCCACCCUUUCCUGCAUCCCAGAGCAUCCUGCCAUGCAAGGGUGCCUGUGAGGCAAGCCUCGAUGUACGUG
rnacentral:lncRNA from 1 species